AAGUGUUAAAUUCAUAUAGGGCUAAUAGAUUUAGUUCUUAGCAGAUUUAGAUUCUAUUGUGGUUUAAGCCUUUGGUUAUGGCAUAUAUCAUUAGUUAUCCUGAAUUGAAAUACAAGGCCAUUAAAAGUUUGAACCCGGGAGGUGGAGCUUGCAGUGAGCCAAGAUUGCACCACUGCACUCCAGCCUGGGCAACAGAGCAAGACUCCAUCUCAAAAAAAAAAAAAAAAAAGUGUAGUCUUUUUGGAGUGUUUUUCUGCCAUUUCUAGGGCCAAACUUUUUCUUGUCCAUGAAUCAUUGUCAAAAUUGGGAAUUUUAAAUUGUGAAUCAUGUGAAUCUGAUAUAUCUGAAAUAUAUCCAAACAAAAAGCACCUAGCCUUUUAAUGACUCUCCAGAAGUCAGUUCUCUAACGCCUCCUGGGCUUGAGCAAUCACACCUCAGCCUCUUGAGUAGCUGGGACAACAGGCACAUGCCACCAUUCCUGGCUAAUUUUUAGUAGAGACGGGGUUUCACCAUGUUGCCCAGGCUGGUCUCGAACUCCUGACCUCAAGUAAUCUGCCCACCUCAGCCUCCCAAAGUAUUGGGAUUACAGGCGUGAGCCACUACGCUUGGCCUCAUAGCGUAUUUUAAUAUUGGUUGAGACUAGCCUUGCUCAUUGAUCUUCUCUUAGCGUUUACUUGGUUAUUCUUGCUUAUUUUUCCAUAAGAACUUUCAUUUUUAUUUAAUCCUGUGUUUUUUGGUUUUAAAGACUAUUUUAUAAUAAAUUUUCGUGAUUAAACUCUUGUGCUUAAACUCUUGAUUAAACAAACAAGCAAUGAAGAGAUGAAUGAAGCAGAAAAUGUGAGUUUCAUGCCUCACAUUCCCACUCCUCUGAGGUUAAUAUUUUCAUGUAUAUUUUUCAGGAUGUAUUUGUAAUCUCAUACAAACGUAUGUAUUUUUUUAAUGAAAAUAUUUAAAUUUUCAUAGUUAACAGCUGUAGCUCUAACUUGGCAAUAUCUUCUGUGUUUCUUUACAGCCAUUAUACUUGCCCACGAAUCUUUGAGAACAUUAUAAUGACCUUUGUGCCUCUUCUUGCAAGGUGUUUUCUCAGCUGUUAUCUCAAGACAUGGAUAUAAAAAACUCACCAUCUAGCCUUAAUUCUCCUUCCUCCUACAACUGCAGUCAAUCCAUCUUACCCCUGGAGCACGGCUCCAUAUACAUACCUUCCUCCUAUGUAGACAGCCACCAUGAAUAUCCAGCCAUGACAUUCUAUAGCCCUGCUGUGAUGAAUUACAGCAUUCCCAGCAAUGUCACUAACUUGGAAGGUGGGCCUGGUCGGCAGACCACAAGCCCAAAUGUGUUGUGGCCAACACCUGGGCACCUUUCUCCUUUAGUGGUCCAUCGCCAGUUAUCACAUCUGUAUGCGGAACCUCAAAAGAGUCCCUGGUGUGAAGCAAGAUCGCUAG
rnacentral:lncRNA from 1 species